CGCGUAGGUGGUAGUGCAAGUCUGGGGUGGAAUCCCAGGGCUUAACCCUGGAACUGCCUUGGAAACUGUAUUACUUGAGUCAGUGAGGGGAGGGUAGAAUUCCUGGUGUAGCGGUGAAAUGCGUAGAUAUCAGGAGGAAGGCUUGUGGCGAAGGCGGCCCUCUGGCGCUGAACUGACACUGAGGCGCGAAAGCGUGGGGAGCAAACAGGAUUAGAUACCCUGGUAGUCCACGCCCUAAACGGUGGGUACUAGGUGUAGGGCUCGUAAGGGUUCUGUGCCGAAGCGAAAGCAUUAAGUACCCCGCCUGGGGAGUACGGCCGCAAGGUUGAA
rnacentral:rRNA from 1 species